GACGAACGCUGGCGGCGUGCCUAAUACAUGCAAGUAGAACGCUGAAGCGAGGAGCUUGCUCUUCUUGGAUGAGUUGCGCACGGGUGAGUAACGCGUAGGUAACCUGCCUUGUAGCGGGGGAUAACUAUUGGAAACGAUAGCUAAUACCGCAUAACAAUGGAUGACACAUGUCAUUUAUUUGAAAGGGGCAAUUGCUCCACUACAAGAUGGACCUGCGUUGUAUUAGCUAGUAGGUGAGGUAAUGGCUCACCUAGGCGACGAUACAUAGCCGACCUGAGAGGGUGAUCGGCCACACUGGGACUGAGACACGGCCCAGACUCCUACGGGAGGCAGCAGUAGGGAAUCUUCGGCAAUGGGGGCAACCCUGACCGAGCAACGCCGCGUGAGUGAAGAAGGUUUUCGGAUCGUAAAGCUCUGUUGUAAGUCAAGAACGGGUGUGAGAGUGGAAAGUUCACACUGUGACGGUAGCUUACCAGAAAGGGACGGCUAACUACGUG
rnacentral:rRNA from 1 species